GACGGAGUCAGAUGUUCCCCCAAUUAUAAGAACAGUCUUGCGGAAUCCUCGCCACUGAUUCUCCGCCCCUCCCUGAGUUCGUUCCAUACUCUUCUGCCCCGCAUCCCGACUUGUUUGAUUGACAGCUCUGCUUAACCCGAAACCAUUAAAUCACUACAGAUGCUGAAGUGAAUGGAGUCAUCUACUGGCAGGAGAAAGACCUUCGUGACUUGAGGACUCAUGCAGGAGGACUAUUGUCUUUAAAAAAGUAGGUUCCUCAGAAGCGCUUGAAGGACCCUCAGAACAUCCUCAGUGCAAGGAUUGCGCACUGAGUGUAGGAUGGCUAUACAGAACACGCAAAUAGUUGGAUGACAUUAACGGACUAGAUUUUAUUGACAUGAGUCCUGUUUGCACGUGGGAAAUGAAUGGACCAGUCAUCGGGCUUUAGAGGGAAACAACCUGUUUAACUGUACAGAUGGGUAGGCCUAGCCCAUAGCCAUGUAGCCAUAUCGAAUGAAAAAUGGAUUUGCUCGCUUCGUAAUAUUGGAGCAGAUACCCAGGCGAAAAUGCGGAUUAGUCAAACCACCUUGAGCGACACAAACGGCUUUCUAAUCAAUUUUACUCGCUGAGACGGUCAGUGAGUGUUUACGGGGUCUGGGGCGAGGAAUCAGUGACUGCUAGACCGAACAAUGGUGUAUCGUGUGCCACUCGCCAUCUCCAGGCAUUCCCUCGCUCCCACGGGAGUACCAGCCGCCACUUUCUGGGAGGGGGAGGGGGGGGUGGCCCAUGACGCAGCAGCUGGCUCUCGUCCCCUCUGUCCACUGCGGAGAGAACAACGGGAUAAUGCGGCCCACCACGUCCGUAUCGACCGCUAUAUAUUGCGCUCAUUUAUUUGUUUACUUAUUUAAGUAAGCAGUGUGCCUCCAGUAGCCGUGAUGUAGCCGUUCUGCUGGGUGGUGAAGGAAUGCAGCACCAGCUGGCCGUUU
ensembl:lncRNA